rnacentral:pre_miRNA from 1 species
UUGUGGCACAAUCUGUCUUUAACUAGAGACAAAUUACUCUAAAAGAAAUGAGUCCUAGAUAGUUUAACCUUCAUGUCAAGUGUUUUGC